GGGCCCGCACAAGCGGUGGAGCAUGUGGUUUAAUUCGACGCAACGCGCAGAACCUUACCAGGGUUUGACAUCCUGUGACCGCUCCUUAAUAGGAGUUUUCCCGCAAGGGACACAGAGACAGGUGCUGCA
rnacentral:rRNA from 1 species